AGAUUGAACGCUGGCGGCAGGCCUAACACAUGCAAGUCGAGCGGCAGCACGGGUACUUGUAUCUGGUGGCGAGCGGCGGACGGGUGAGUAAUGCCUAGGAAUCUGCCUGGUAGUGGGGGAUAACGCUCGGAAACGGACGCUAAUACCGCAUACGUCCUACGGGAGAAAGCAGGGGACCUUCGGGCCUUGCGCUAUCAGAUGAGCCUAGGUCGGAUUAGCUAGUUGGUGGGUAAUGGCUCACCAAGGCGACGAUCCGUAACUGGUCUGAGAGGAUGAUCAGUCACACUGGAACUGAGACACGGUCCAGACUCCUACGGGAGGCAGCAGUGGGGAAUAUUGGACAAUGGGCGCAAGCCUGGUCCAGCCAUACCGCGUGGGUGAAGAAGGCCUUCGGUUGUAAGCCCUUUUGUGGAAGAAAGCAUUCGUUAAUACCGGUGUUCUGACGUACCCAAGAAUAAGCACCGGCUAACUCGCGCCAGCAGCCGCGUAA
rnacentral:rRNA from 1 species